GAAGAGGCUUGCCAAAUGGACCCAUCACCACAAUCAAGAUACAGAACACUUCCAUGAGUCCCAAAGGUUCUCGGGUGCCCCUUCCAGGGUGAUUCUAGGGUUUCUGCAUACCUUUAGAGGAAUCAAUUGACUGUGCUUGUGAUUUGGAAUCUGUCACAAAUAAACUUUCAUCCAAACCAUCACUGUAAGAAAAAGGAGAUGACAUCAAAAAGUGAAGAAGCCUGGCUUUUAACAGAAGAUCUGGUCUCAGAAAUUAACUUAGUUAACUUAAUUCUUUUAACUUAAUCCUCAAAUCCUGACAUCUUCAUCCCAGUUUUUAUCUACAUUAUUAUUAUUAAUGUUUCGUAGAGAUGGGGGGGUCCUUCUAUGUUGUCCAGACUGGUCUUGAAGUCCCAAUUUGUAGGCCUGGGUUCUUCCAGCUAGUCCAGACUGGUCACUUUUGGAAAGCUUGUUAGAGUAGGUGGUUCAGAUGGCUACUAUGUGUCCUUCUUAUCAUCAGGUGUUUGAUAUCACAAAUUGAGUGAGUGACUUUUGUAGUACAAGGAGUACUCACAAUCUGCUUCUGACCUGGUGCCUUUGUUCACUGCAGCAUUUUAUGAAUUAUCAAGUAAGAUAAUGGGUGAAAACACUUUGCAAAGUAAAACCCAGAUAUAUCUUUACUAGACUUUUGUUUUUCUGUCAACUAAAACCCCAUUCCUUCUAUUUCUGCUGUCCACGCUUGGUCAGCCCCUGAAAGUGUUUGCAGCCUCCGCUGUCUGCUCACCCUUGGGCCUCCCCGUCCAGCAGGCGGCGGUAGGUCUCAAUCUCCAGCUCCAGGCGGGCCUUGACAUUAAGCAGCCGCUGGUGGUCCACGUUCUGGCGCUCUGCGUCCGCGCGCACCUGCAGCAGCUGCGCCUCCAGGUUGCUGAUGAGUUGCUGCACCUGGGACAGCUGCGCGCAGUAAUCGCCCUCGGCUUCGGCCAACGAGUCCUCCAGGGAUUUCUUCUGCACGUGGGAGGGAAACGGUAGAGACGUAACGAUGGAGGGGACCGAAAAGAGGAGGGCAGCCAACGGGCUAAUGCAAUUUGGACGCAACAUUUUCUUUGGAAGUCCAAAGGAUGCUGCAUCUUUUUUGCGCACGAGCCUACCAUGGCAAGCUGGGACUGCAGCUCGAUCUCCAGGUUCUGAACUGCACGACGCAGGUCGGUGACCUCGCUCUUGCUGGUCUGAAGCUGCUCGGUGUUAGUGCUGAUCUCCUUCCUGAGCUCCCCGCUCUGCAACAGUAAAGACAGCCACGGGACUCGGGAGCCACGCUGGCUCGCAGGCCUUCCUGUGGAUGUAUCAAAGGCUUUGUUGUUUGUGUUACCUUUUCAAUGAACCAGGCUUCAGCGUC